CCGCGAGCCCGUGAAUCGCUGCGCGGGGCUGACAGCCGUAACGCGAUCGAAGAGACACACAUGAAACGGAGUCAUUAAAAUUUUAGCGUGUCACAUCAUUUUACCCUCUGUUUUGCCAAACGCACUCUGUCGUGGAUAGUCGAAAUGUAAUUACCAUAUUUCACGACAAAGAAAUUGUGCGGAGAGUGAUAAUGCGAAUCAGUUAUUUCAGUUUUAGUAUAUUUGGAGACAAUGUUCAGAAAGGCGUUUUGUAACUGUGUCGUCUCUGCUAACAAGUAGGGAUAUAUUUGCUUUUAAAAAAGGUGUAAUUUAAACCAGGAUGCAUAGACUGCUGCCUGCGGACCUCAUGCGGCCCGCCAUCGAUCUGAUCUGCUGGCGGCCCACUCGUCAACGUUUAUGCUAUAACACUGCACAGAAUUUCCAUAAAUGUUUGGCCUGAGUUCAGGAUUAAAUGGUAACGCUUGUUUUUUUCUUAUGGGUCUACUAGAGAACCCACGAAGUUUUCCUACAGCUGCGUCUCAUUAAACACUUUCGCCACAAGGAGCGCUGUGUGAUCAGUAUCGUAAAAAUGACUUCCCCCAUGGAGAAUGGUGAGUCUGUUGUGUGGCUAGCAGAAACCAAAUCACCGAUUACUGUGCAGUGAAACAUUGUGUACCGUUAUGGAAAGAAAGCGCUUGACGCCAAGUUAACCAGAUCAUGGCUGGAAACUUUUUUAGCAAAGGGGUCGGCUCAGAAACUGGUGCCGGCGUGUUUACCUGCUGGCUGGGGCGCGAGGGCGGCAGCUGCCACACCUCUCUGAUACUCGAUUCGCCAUCAUAUUGUGGGCUUUGCACUACAUCUGCCUCAACGUUGGAUGUACUUCUGUGAAAUAUAUUACAAAAACACAGACGACUUGGGUGGCUCCUGCUUCUUCUAACUGGACCUGCUGAACUUCCUUCUUUCGUUGGGAUGGUUCAAAUAGAUGGUGCUACUGCGGAAGGGUCUGCAGGUCCUGUUUGUGAGAUUGCUGCUGAUCCUGUUGAAAUUCAAAUGUUCGUUGUUGGUCGUCUUACUACGAUGAUGCAAUGGAUCUGCCGCCGUAAUUACAGCCACAAGUGCUCACAGCCCGUUCCAGGAAACGAACCUAUCUUCAUUCAGUUGCAUGGUAACGAAAUCUGAU